CCCAGUAUGAAUGUCCAUAAACAAUAGUCCUUCUGACUUGCUUGCCAAUAGUCACCGACUACUUAAUGAAACUCAGUAUCCGUCCAACAGGGGAAGACUUCAGACAGGAAAACAGUGAGGUUUGAAAAAGCCAUGAAAGAGAUUGGGCAUAGACUUAGCCUUCAAACCUGGGCAGAAUUUGAACUAUUGCAGGAAACAAGAGGACAUUCCUGGGGAAACGGCGUCUAGGAGUACCAGUAGCAGUGCACAUUGCAUAAGUGUAGAGUAGAAUGGCAGGAGUAAGUUCUAUAUUAGUAGGGGGACGUGUGUUUUUCCAGGUAAGGUGACGUUUAAUUACAAAGGGACCUGACAAUGAAAUGGAAAGGUUGGGAUUGAGUGCAACAAGGAACAUAGAGUUUAGAUGUUUCAGAGCCACAUCAUGACAGUAUCCUAGAAAGUUGCAACACUCCAUGAGAGACAAUGAUUUAAACAAGAAGUCUUUCUUAUUAAAAAUGCAUUUGGUUAUCUCAAAUUUUGAAUCAGAGGCAUUGAAAAUUAUUCUUUUCUACGUUUUCUUAUAAUCUACUUUUUACUUGUUUUUGGCCAAUUAUUUGGAGGUUUAUCCUUACUGCUUAUUUUCAUGGGUCCUGCUAACUUAUACACAAUGUACUCUGUCCUUAGAUUCCCGGCAUUUCAUGUCAGAGAAGGGCACUAGAAAACAAAGAUGUUAAUUUUAUAAGUUCAGUGUAGCUAUUUCUUCAGUAUUUAAUUUAGGGAGAGAAUUUUACACAAAAGUACUGAGUGAAUACCCAUCUGGUAAGUCUUGAGCAUUAUCUAAUUUCUUUCCACUGUGUUUGGAGCUGCUGAGACACCUCGGGGAUUGUUUGUAUAACAUCAUUGCUUCAGGCCAUGGAAAAUUCUGUGCACUGCUUUCCAUACAUGCUUGGUUACAGCUGGUUCUGGUUUGUGUGUUUCAGGGUUUUCCAAUGCAAUUACUCCUUACUUCAUAUAUACCAAAUGGAUCUGCCUCUUUCUGUUUCAACCAAAGGCUUUUAAAUCAGAGUUUAAAAUGUGAAUACAGUGAUGGAAAAGUAAAAAAUGCCCAGAUAGACUGAAGGAAACUCAGAGAGACAUAAAGAACCUCAGUUGUAAUGUUUUCCCAAGUAGAAAAUACCAAUACCAAUAAUAAUAAUAAUAAUAAAAAGAAGAAAAGGCAGUUUUCUUUCCAUGUUCAAGGUUCUAUUAGACUUCUCUGUAAGUAUAUGUACUUUUGUCGCAAGCGUUUCAUUGGAAGGGAUAAUUAUUUCCCUUUUCUGUAGAAAGAACUCUCUUGCCAGGAGCACAAUGUAUUCUGCCUGGACCUGACAGAUCCAUCCUGUUCUUCCUAGAUCAAUAUGGGCUUCAGUCUUAGAGUCUCUGUGGCUUUCGUUCGAUCUCUGUAACUCUCAGAUUGACUCCCCAUAAAUGCAUUGAGGAGGAGCCAAUUAUCCCACACAGCCCCUGGCUUGUUAUUGCCAUAUGCGAUUAUAUUGGAGGAGGUAUGUGGCGUAACCCCAGGGAUGGCACCAAAAGAAAUGGCUUUUUUUCAUCAUUACAGUCCCAAUAAAAUCAGAUAAUACUCCAUCAACUGGCUUUUAAAAUGAAGGUUUAUAUCAUCUUAUGGCAAAGAUGUGAAAAAUGCAUGGCCACUGACAGAAGAAGUCUGUGCCUUCCAUGUUGGCAGGCAAGACAUUCCACAGAUGACUCUGUUCUUCCCUAGGCUGAAUCUAUUGCUGACAGCAAACGCAAUACUUACUACUCAAAUGUACUGGCCCUUUGGAUGCUUUUGAAAGAUCAGCUGCAGUCAUAGUGACAUAUUUGUGCUUGGGACACAUUCUAUAUUGUUUUCUGACCCGCAUACCUGUAGCACAAGUGAAUACUAAGUAGUUAUACAUUACCAACAUGGUUAUAUGCCCCUGAUAUUGUCUUGCUGUUAAUAAUACAACUAUGGAGCAGGCAUUUAACUUGCUCACCUCCAGAUUUCAAAAUAAAAAUACUAAUGGACUGUAAAAAAAUAGAAAUUAAAAAAAAAAAAACUUUAAAAAAGGAUAAAUCCAAAUGUCAAGGACUUUAAAACAUUUUUGCUGGAUCCACUUUGUUUAGAACAGUGUUGAAUGGAGGAGAGGGCUGUGGCUCUUCCUGUGGAAGGGACCUUGUACCAGGGAAGCAAGUGGAGGAAAAUCUGGCAGCAUGCUACUGAUAUUUCUGAACAAUGAUAUUUGAAGGCUUGAGGGAUGUGUAUGUGUGUGUGUGUGUGUGUGUGUGUGUGUGUGUGUGUGUGUGCGCGCACAUGCUGUCAGGAAAAGCAUGUAGCUUGGGGACAUAAGGAAAUGAGUGAGUGUCCUAAGGAAGAAUAUGUGGGUGCCAUCAGGGACUCUGGGAAAUAAUUCUGGUUCUAGAUACAUCAAUCCUGGAGGCUAUGGAGGCAUUUAUCAUAUGUUAACACCUGCCAUGGCUCUUUAUUCCAAUCAAACAUAAUGACUUUACCAGGGCUGGCUGCAGAUGAAGGAAGCCAUGCCAGGGGAAGAAAGAAAAGAGGAAAAAAGACAUGGCACCAGUCCAGAAAAGAAAUGUUUCCACACACAAAAUAAAAAUUGGCAGCAUUUGCUUUUCAUUAGGCUCUCUCCUUCCCUCCCUACUCUCCACUUGCUGGAUCACUGACCAUGUACAGGAAAUACUGCGUUAAUUCUAAACCUCACACUUCUUACAUCAUUUGGUACUGGUUUAGGAAAAGAAUCACACUAGUUUUAUGCAAAACCUAGCUGAAAACCGUAUAAGAAAAGUCUUUAAAUUGUUUUUUAAGUUGGCUAAAUACCUAAUUCCAUGCAUCUCAAGCUUCUGCAAUGAACAAAUAUCAAGGUACUUGGUGGUAUCAGCUGAUACUUAAAAAAUAAUUAGUUACAUUUUACUUGCAUAUUUUCUCAGAAAAAAAUCCAUAUAAAUAUUCUCAAAUAAUUACUAUAUAGGUUGAGGCAUUAAAAAUAGAAAAAAUAGGAGUUCCCAUCAUGGCGCAGUGGUUAACAAAUCCGACUAGGGACCAUGAGGUUGCGGAUUUGAUUCCCUGGCCUUGCUCAGUGGGUUAACUAUCCGGCGUUGCCGAGAGCUGUGGUGUAGGUUGCAGACGCGGCUCGGAUCCCACGUCGCUGUGGCUCUGGUGUAGGCCGUUGGCUACAGCUCCGACUGGACCCCUAGCCGGGGAACCUCCAUGUGCUGUGGGAGCGGCCCAAGAAAUAGCAAAAAGACAAAAAAAAAAAAAUAGAAAAAAUAAAACAGCAGUCAUAAAAUGUAGAUUAAUGUUUAAUUUGUGGGAGAAACUCGAAAAUGAAGGAGUAGAAUAACUGGAAAAUAUUGGUAGAUAUAGCUAUGUAUCAAUAUAAAAAAAUCAUCUCUGUAUCUUUCUUCAAACUAGGAAAUAUUUGCAUAUAUCUUCUGAAAAAAAAAAUAAUUGAGCCCUUCAAUCUGUAAAGAACUUGUCCAAAGUCAAGAACAGGAAAUGCAUGGAAAGAAAUAUGAAUGCUUCUAAACAUACACACACACACACACACACACACACACACUCUCUCUCUCUCUUCCUCUCUCUCAACCUGUAAUUAAAGAAAUACAAACUAGAAGAAACAAACAAUAUUUCAUUUUUUAAAGUGGCAAAGCUAUUUCCUAAAUUUGAGAAGGGCUGGGAAGGGUGGUGAAGGAUCACUUAGGAUGGGUACCAUUAAUACCAUACCUGGAAACAAUUUUAUCCUAGUAUUGAGAUCAUGACAAAUGUGUUAUGUCUAAUCAGAUAGGCAGACAACAAUUUUCGAAGCAGGAAUUCACCAAGGCAUUGUUUAGUAUAUGUGGUGCCGAAGCGAGCUCAAGGCAUUGUUGCUAUAUGGAAAGGAAAAUGUAUACCGAAUGCUAGUGAUCAGAGAUUUUCUUUUAAAUAUUGGUCAAAAAUCCAUAGCGAAUAUUUAAUUAUUAAGAUCAUUUCUUAACAAAAUAUUUGAUGGAAUAAAAUUAUGUUCAAAUAAAUUCUGAAAUAAAAAUUAGAAUAAAAACAUCAUGUAAUUUUUACCCCAGUUUUUAAAAAGAAAAAGAAUAUGAACAAUUAAACUGCUUAAAUCUCAGAGAGAAAUAGAGUGGUAAUGUGUGUUAACACGAUGCCACUAUAGAUUAGACAAACUUCUUGAUUUCCCCUUUCCUUGUUUACAUACAAACUUAUUUCUUUUUUCCCAGACACUCAGAGUCUUUAGAACCAUGCUGUCCAUUGCACUACAACAUGUCCAUUAGCUACAGAUGCUCACUGAACACUAGAACUGGGACCAGUCAGAAGGAGAUGUUUUUUUAGCUUAAAAAUAUACACCAAUUUCAAAGACAAAGCCUACAAAAUGCACAGAAUUUCUUUAAUGAAAUUUAAUAUUGACUCUAUUUAAAAUGACUUUUUUACAUGGCAGGUUAAACAAAAUAAGUGAUUGCAAUGAAAUUCACCUGCUUCUUAUUUCUUUUUUCAGUCUGGAUAUUUGACAGUGUACAAUUACCUAGGUGGCUUGCAUUGCAUUUCUGGUGGACAGCACUGCUAUAGGAUUUGCUGUUUCUGCUGACCUUCCACCUCUGUCCUAUACCAAUCUCUAGCAUGUUGGCAUUCUUUGUUAAAGCAGCUUUUGCAGGUGGCAGUUUCUGCAGCUAAGGAGAAAGAUCCAGGGAGUUGGGCAGGCAAGGAUUUUUAAAUUAAAGUUACGUUUGAGGUUAUUAUCCCUGACCUCACUAUUAGGAAAUGUUGUUUUGAGAGUUCUCUUAUGGGUUAGCCAGUUAAAAAUUUGGCUUUGUCACUGCGGUGCCUCAUGUU
rnacentral:lncRNA from 1 species